rnacentral:rRNA from 1 species
UACGAAGGGGGCUAGCGUUGUUCGGAAUUACUGGGCGUAAAGCGCGCGCAGGCGGUUCGUCAAGUUGGGGGUGAAAUCCCCGGGCUCAACCCGGGAAUGGCCUUCAAAACUGUCGAGCUAGAGGACGAGAGAGGUGAGUGGAAUUCCCAGUGUAGAGGUGAAAUUCGUAGAUAUUGGGAAGAACACCGGUGGCGAAGGCGGCUCACUGGCUCGUUUCUGACGCUGAGGCGCGAAAGCGUGGGGAGCAAACAGG